AUCACCUUCCAACCCCAACUAGAGAAGAUUUUAGCAUUCAGUCUUUUCAAUCAAACUUGAAACUCAUCUGGUAUUGAUAAUCUGAUUGAAACUUCUUUCUUAAAUCCAUAUGAGCUACUGCUUCUCACUCACUGCUUUGAGUUCUCACAGUGUGUCAACUUCUCUCUUUUAAAUCCAAAGAGUGAAAUGAGUAGAACCUGUUAGUUAGGGCCAGGGCCUCCAACAAUUCCCAAAUCAGGACAACCAUCUUGAUAAAAGAGACAGUAGUAGAUUUCUGUUUAAAAUCAUAGGCAUCCAUCCCUAGCUUCUUUAUUUUUCAGUGAUAAAUGGAAAAUGUGUGAUCAGUUCAACGGUAUAUAUGGUAUGAGAGGUUUAGACUUCCAAUACACUAGACAUCACUCAUUUUUCCCCUCUUCAUUUUACAGGUCAAGAAACUGGUGUUCAGUUGGUUGCUUAAUUCAUUCAUCUGCUCUUUCUCUAUUUUAUGGAUGUAUAUAUUUAGAGAUACCAAUUUUCCAAAGUGUAGUUGUGGCUACAUCCAGUAAUUUUUUGAUGACCAUCACUGCAGUUUCCAAAUCUUUGCCACCACAGAAGAGCAACUUGAUUCAAAUGAAUAUGCUAAGGAUCAGAGAAGCAAAUUAUGGCUAAUUACCUGAAGUCGCACAGCUAGUGAAUAGCAGAGCUGAGAAUUCACCUUGAUCUUUCAACUUCAAGAUUGGGACACUCCUGCUGCUCUAAACCAUGUUUCUUAAAGGAGGUAUGUUUUAUAUCUUUAAUAUUAUAAAAGAAGUUCUAAUGGAUGUCAAAAGAAGUGAUAAAUUAGUUUAAAGGGUGUUGCAGGCUACAGAUUCAGUACUUGGGACUUUCAAAAAAAGAUACAUUGUCAGUAUGGCCAGCUAAUAAUGAAGUUCUGCUCUUCUUCCCUCAGUGCCCAGAUUAGUCCCAAAACAUGGUUCAGUGAAUAUCAGCACAAGUUUUCUCUUCCCAGGGAAUUAACUCUUGGAGGAGAUAGGUUGAAUCCAAAUGUAAGAAAACUUAGGAAGUAAGGGGAAUAUAAAGAAGUUUUGAAAAUAAAACAGCUAGAAAACAGUGGGUAAGUUGAUAG
rnacentral:lncRNA from 1 species